GGUAUUUGUUCUUUGUGCUUUAGGACACAUGGCAAAAUGCUUCUGCUGUUUCUGAGUCUCGGUUUGUUCACUUCUAAUGUCCAGUCAGAAAAACAAGGGGUUAAUGUAACGUGUGAAAAUCAAUCGGUUGUAGCAGGACAGAACCACAACCUGACAUGUAGAGUGGAUUACAGUGAUGCAGAUCAGAAUAAGAAGGGUGAUGUAGGUAACAGCGAGACGGGAUGUAAAACUGAAAAGUAUUUCUGGAAGGAUAAAUCAAAAACUCCAAUACGAAAUUGUGAUUGUACAAAAGAUUGUAACACUACGAUAACAACCAACACCUACUUUUGUGAGAUCAAAAAUGUUACGAAAGCUGAUGAGGGAAACUAUACUUUUACCAUUAACACAAACUGUGGCAACGGACAUGGCACAUUGAAUGUUUCCGUUACAUCGAGAAAUAAGAAACCAGAGCUGUUCAAAGGAGGAUCGUCAGGUCACAUGUCACCAUUAUCAUCACUGUUCUGGGUGGUCUACUGUUUCUCAUCUCUUCUGGUUGUGGCAGAAGAUUGAUGGGUCGACUUAAGUUCCUUAAGAAAAAUGACAACACUGACCAGAGCCCUGAAGCUACCAGAAAGGCUCUAAACCUGGAGCCUGGAAAACAUUCAGUCCAUGGAGGAG